AUGUAUGCCUAUACCCUCUUUCAAUAUCUUUGUUUAGUCUAUGUGUUGGGGACUCACUGACCUCGAGAAAAAUAUUACCUAGACAAAAAACGAUAGUCUCUAGUUUUGACCAACUCAGCUAAGCUCUUUUUCGGUAGAAAAAAUGGAGAAGUUUGUUGUGUAGUAAACAUAUUACUAAUUCCAAUGUGUCAUCACAGAACAGUUUUAGUGUAAGGAAUAAUCAUACAACAGUUGCCAGAUACAAACAACAUUAUUCUUCUUUUAAGGGGAUGAUAAAGUGGUAGAAUAUUAAGAUUACUUAUCUUUGACAUCCAGUAGAAGAAAUGGAGACUAGUCCAUUUCUUGGACAAUCAUACAACAGUUGCCAGAUACAAACAACAUUAUUCUUCUUUUAAGGGGAUGAUAAAGUGCUAGAAUAUUAAGAUUACUUAUCUUUGACAUCCAGUAGAAGAAAUGGAGACUUGUCCAGAUUCUGGCUUGUCCCCUCAACACUGCAUACUUGAAUAAUGAACUUGAGAG
rnacentral:lncRNA from 1 species